GUCUACGGCCAUACCACCCUGAACGUGCCUGAUCUCAGAAGCUAAGCAGGGUCGGGCCUGGUUAGUACUUGGAUGGAAGACCUCCUGGGAAUACAAGGUGCUGUAGGCU
rnacentral:rRNA from 1 species